CCUCAGGAGGGGGAUAACGGCUGGAAACGGCCGCUAAUACCCCAUAUGCCGAGAGGUGAAACGAAUUUCGCCUGAGGAUGAGCUCGCGUCUGAUUAGCUAGUUGGUGGGGUAAAGGCCUACCAAGGCAUCGAUCAGUAGCUGGUCUGAGAGGAUGAUCAGCCACACUGGGACUGAGACACGGCCCAGACUCCUACGGGAGGCAGCAGUGGGGAAUUUUCCGCAAUGGGCGCAAGCCUGACGGAGCAACGCCGCGUGAGGGAUGAAGGCCUCUGGGCUGUAAACCUCUUUUAUCAAGGAAGAAGAUCUGACGGUACUUGAUGAAUAAGCCACGGCUAAUUCCGUGCCAGCAGCCGCGGUAAUACGGGAGUGGCAAGCGUUAUCCGGAAUUAUUGGGCGUAAAGCGUCCGCAGGCGGUCUUGUAAGUCUGUCGUUAAAGCGUGGAGCUUAACUCCAUUUAAGCGAUGGAAACUGUAAGACUAGAGUGUGGUAGGGGCAGAGGGAAUUCCCGGUGUAGCGGUGAAAUGCGUAGAUAUCGGGAAGAACACCAGUGGCGAAGGCGCUCUGCUGGGCCAUAACUGACGCUCAUGGACGAAAGCCAGGGGAGCGAAAGGGAUUAGAUACCCCUGUAGUCCUGGCCGUAAACGAUGAACACUAUGUGUCGGGGGAAUCGACCCCCUCGGUGUCGUAGCCAACGCGUUAAGUGUUCCGCCUGGGGAGUACGCACGCAAGUGUGAAACUCAAAGGAAUUGACGGGGCCCGCACAAGCGGUGGAGUAUGUGGUUUAAUUCGAUGCAACGCGAGAACCUUACCAGGGUUUGACAUCCUGCGAUCUCUAGAAACGAGAGAGUGCCUUCGGAACGCAGUGACAGUGUGCAUGCUGUCGUCAGCUCGUGUCGUGAGAUGUGGGUAGUCCCGCACGAGCGCACCACGUCGUA
rnacentral:rRNA from 1 species